rnacentral:tRNA from 1 species
GGCACUUUGGCGGAGUGGUUAACGCGAUGCCCUGCUAUGAGCUAAUGAAUUAGCAAUGGUAUAGGCAUUCCCUUCGGGGGCGUGUGUUCGAAUCACACAGGUGUCG